rnacentral:misc_RNA from 1 species
GGAAAGAGUAAACAAGGGAAGGCUCAAGCUUGUUUUUGGCAAGGUUUAGCCUUAGCCUUAGCAAAUAUGAAAUCUCAAGGUUGAACCAUCUGUUAGAUGUGGAGAGAUCUUUUGGCCAAGUCUAACAAUUUCACUAGCUGAAUUGCUCUACUAUUAAUGAUGGUAAUGGCGUGACUGAAAAUUAUAUUUAUUCAUAAACAUUCAUGAAAUAGCAUAAAUAUCUAUAAAAACAGAUUAAUGAUUGACCUGUAGUUCCCCUGAUAGAGAUUUACAGGAUUUUCCGUUUCCACUAUAUUGAUGAACAUUACACUAGUACUUUUGAAAGUUUAUUUUGUAUCACUCUAAAUGAUUUAAAAUUAGAUUAACACAUUAUUAUAAUUUUCGUUACUUAAAUAGUCAUAAAUAAAAAUUGCAAAUUUAACCUCGUUGUCUUAACUAUGUUUUUGUCAACAUCCAUGCUUAAAUAUAUAUGGAUGAAUAUAGAUAUUGAUUAGUGUUGGUUUUUCCUUAUCAAACUUUGUCUUUUGUUAAGCUGAAGAAAGGAUAUGUUAUUUCAUUGAUGCAUGAUGAAGGAGCAAUGAUUGCACUAUAGUAUCCUCUAAUUGAAAUUUAUAUGCUUUGCAAUUACACAAUACAUCAAAUUGUUGAGUUGGCA